ensembl:lncRNA
CCCCCGACAAGCUGGCACAAAGCCCUGGGAACCUGGAUCAGAACAGGGCUAGCAAGAAUUAGCUUUUGCCCAAGGCUAAGGAUGCUUGAGGAUGCUGCCAUCUUUCAGGCGCUCUGCGGGUCGCCUUUUUAUUUUUAUUUUUUUCUUUUUCUGGGGCGAGCAGAGGGAUUUCUCAGCAUCGGGGCAACGUGAGAAUCCUGAGGGCUGCAUUUUGGAAAAAAAAAUUAUAUGGAAACAUUUUCAUGUUUUCCAAAACAAAAGAUGCUAAGGGGUUUGUUACUAAGGGAAAAUUCCUGCACCAGUUUCGCAAAGGCUGGGAUUUCUGAGUUUCCUUAGCGCAGCUCAUGGCUUCUUUAGGAGGGCUAUAGUCAUGACACUGAGAAGAAUGGCCUUUGAACUCAGUGGUAGCAUAAGUAUUUGUGAAAUCCUUGCCCCGAGGAAAGUAGUGGACUCCCAAUGGCUUAUCCCAACGACCAUGGUGAAAUCAGGAACUUGGACAUGGUCUGUUAGUUGGCGUUGCUCGGGCCUUGUGGUGGAGUAAGGGAUCUGCUCUGAACCAAGCUCUUGGCUGGAUGGGCAAAACCCGCUUUGUUCUUCUGUCUCAGAUUGCCGGGAAGCAAAGUUUGAAUGGAGAACAGUGCCACUUCUGAAGAAUUGUCAGAAUAAUUAUUCAUUAUUCUGAAGAAUAAAUAUUUAGGCUGAUGUGCAGACUGAAGAAGCGUUUUAUAACAGGCUGAACGAAAUCCGAGAGAGGGAUUUUCAGAAGCACAGGAUGUUCUUCUCACCACCAGUGACUGAUUGUGCAGUGGGAGCAGAGUCAGGCUGAUUCAAGGUGUCUGAGGAAAUUUGACCCUCGGUGCUCAGGAUUUUUAAUGUUUCUGGCCAGAAGACUGGAGCCCUUGCUGAGAUGUGAUUACUUCUGUGAUGUUUCGUUGUUACAAUAGAGUCACAGAGCCUUGUUCAAAGGCCAGGACCCCCUGUGCUCUGCCACAUCUCUAAAGAAGGUCCCAGAGAUUUCCAAUCCAACUGGGCAAUGCUCGACUGAAGUCAAGAACGAUUCACAAUCCCCUGCAAUAAGUAUUUUUUGACUAUUUCAUAUUAAUGUCAUUAAUCACGUUGGUUUUAAGCCAGAUGGCUGUGACCUUUGUUACAGAAUGCUGAUUCCUAUUUAGAAGAGAAGCUGCUAGCAAACAUUUCACUACCUUUGCAUUACAAUGUGCUUCCUACCUUAGCGAUGCAAGCUUGCUGUGCAAACAGGAAAAAGCUUUCACUGAUGAGGCAGUGGUCUGAUCUUCAGCAUCCUCCUGUCCUGGUAGAUUAUGUCAUGAACAGCUCUCCUUGGGGUCGUUUGUGAAGAGAUAUCUUGGAGGAUAGUAUCAUCACCGGUUGGGGACCAGCGUGGCUGCCUAAAUUGUCCAUCCUAGUGUUUGUCAAGAAAGAUGAGGUGCUGGAUGCUCAGCGCUUUUCCCUUUCCUAUGGCUGAAUGUCGGCUGAUGCUGUUUGCUAAACAAGAGUGCCGGUGGCAGAGGAAUUAGAAGAAAUCCCUUCUUAAUUGGAAACAGGACAAAUCCAGGCAAACGGGUGCUGAGCCAGCAACAGCAUGGGACCAGCUCGUCUUCUGUGGGUAUCAUGAAAUUCAGCAUCCUUCACUGCCUCCAACAUUGAGGUCCUGCAGGUAUGACUUUGCUUCAUGUGGAUCUCCAAAGUUGCUAAAGAUGCUAAUGAACCUCUACUGUAAGGUUCGAAAUCAUCCAGGAUGACAGCAGAUCUUUCCCAAAGGCUUCCCAGGUCAGGAAGGGGGGGAACUGCAGAGGCAAAGCAGGAGGAAGUAAGAAGGAUGCUUGUCCCUACUCAACUACCUUCUCUGGCGUGGCUUUGAGGGGGGCCCAGAGGUGGAAGGAGUGGAAAUCUGGCUCCAGGUGGCAGUCCUGAUUUGCAUGUCCACUCUUUGGAGCUCCCAAGCACCUCCUUAGGCAGUUGACCUGAUCACAGGUAGUGGGGUACUGAGCCACGUUGGAGCCUUGCUAUUGUAGCUGCAGCAUACUCUGGGGAGAAAAAUAUGGAAGGGGGAGGCUUGUAUCUCCUUGGAAAAAGCUGGGGUGUGCAUUUGGCUUUCUCCUCUGAGUAUUCUUGUUUUGCCUCUGAGCCGCCCCCUCCUCAUGCAUUCCUGCACAAACCCCCUUUGUUUGCUGCCCUCAGUCAGGAUCCAGGCAGCAACAGCCCAGAUGUUCCCUAUCAAACUCAGAGCCAUGCCAACAAACUUUGGCACACAUGAAAGUGUGCUGAGGAAUGGGCCUCUGCAAAUACCAUUCUUUUUCCCCCUUCCCAUUCCUGCAAGUAUUUUUAAAUGUUAAUGGCUUCCAUGCCGCAACAGCCCAUGGGGGACUGCAAAUUAAUGGUGAGGGGCAAAUCUGUCCCAACUUUGAAACCCUGGCCCUCGUUCCUGCAGUGUGGUUUUCCCGUGGGUGAUGGUGCAUGGAGGGAGCAGACACAGCUCAGCCUGUAGAGGAGAAAUCCCAGUAAAACUGGAUGAUUGCAUGAGUCCAAUGGAUAGUCUCUGCCCAUUGGUGCUGUUGUUCCUUUCUCACCUCCCCACACUGACAGGCUAAGGAGAUGAUGAAUGAGGGUGGUGAACCCCUCACCCUUGAUCAGAGAUGAUCUCCUUGAGGAGUGCAUCCAGGUUUCCAUCCUGGAACAGUACCCUUCUCUUUUUGCACAUGAAGGGAUGGUGCAAGCCGUAGGUCCUUGUCUCAGACAUGGGCUUGGAGAUAAAUGGAACUUGGAGGAAAGGCGAAGGUAAAGAGGCAAGAAAAGAAAAAAUGGUCUGAGCUGAUGAAAGCUGCUUUCUUGCUCUGGAGAUGGAGAAUGGGGAGGUGACAUGGUUAUUCACAGUAGGUUUGCAGGGACUGCUUCUAGAAAGCAGGAGCUGAGCACCAGCUCUUGGUUCCCUUCAUUAAGGAGGGAAGGCAGCACACUAAAUUUGCCAGUAAAAUAGUAAUAAUAAUAAUAAAAAAAUCCAUAGCUCUUAAACUAUCCUGUUUAAAAAUAAUAAAAAUUAAGAGGUACUUGCCAUUUCACGUCGUCUGGUUUAGCUGCAGGGAGCAACAUGGCCCUGAGAGCUAACCUGCUGGAGCAGAUCCCCACUGUGUUCAAAGGCAGUGGGGAGACCUGAGUUUGCUUUCAGGCUGGGGCUGCUGAGGGUUUUGAAGCCCUGAGCAGGUUUUCAAAGAUCUCUUUUUUUCAUGGCCAAGCAGUCUGGGGGAAAAAUAUAUGGCUGAAUUGGCAUGAAGGGAAGGAUCCAGAUGCUCCCUGGGUUACACUGUGGCCUCUGCAGAAAGGCUGCAGUCUUGGGCUUCCUAUAAAACCUGGAGGAGAAAGGUCCUGUCUGUGAGCACAGACAGUCUGCUUCCCUAAGCGAGGCCGAUUCCAACAGUUGAUCUUCAUUUAAUGCUCCCAAGCCAGAUGAAAAAAUGCAGACAAUCUUAGUGUGUAUGUAAGGGGGUUUCUAGUUGCUGGUGCACAGGUGUUGCUACACAGAUGAUGUGGAAGUACCCUGAUGUAUGCUGGCUAAAUAACCCUGCUUUUCCAAGGUUAUCGUGUUGGAUUAAAAGGUAAUGCUGGCUUGGUCUCAGCUGCAAAGCUCGGGGUAUCAGUUUUGUCCUCUUCAACCCAUCUUCAGUCUGUUUGGGAGCACAUUGCUACACUGAGCACGCAGACAGGAAUUGCGGAGCCUUUCCUCCUGCUAGGAGAGGAAUCUGGAAACGAUUACAAGCUGCUCAUGCUUAAUCAUUGGGUGAAUCUUAAAUGCCUGGCUUAAUAUUUUGCAGGACUGAAGAUGGCAUCUGAAUUUUUGUGGUGUGCAGGUUACAUGGCAGAGCCUGGAUGGUUUUGUUGUGUGUGUUUGAGGAGCAGCUGGUCCUGAGGACCCCAUGCUUCCUCUGAAGUCUAGGUACAGUUUCAAAGGAAACCCAAAGUGCAAAGGGGGAGGGGGGUGGAAAAUGGAACUGUUUUGUCUGAUAUUUGUGCAAACUGGCAGCUCCGCCAUGUUCUCGUGAGCCUUACUGAGUCUGGUCAUUUCUACUUCAAACUGAAUUAGAGUGUUACAUGAGUUAAAAAAAAAAAAAAAAUGAAAUCUCCUGGGAAAAGGAUGGAAACCAAAAUAACUCCCAGUUCUGGGCUGGAGUCAGUCAACGACAAGGCAAACAAUAGGCAUCCUUCUUUUCUUCCUUAAAUAUCAGAAUGCUUCACAUCGGCAUUCUCAGGCUGAAGCCGUUUGCUUUACUAAAGAUCAGUAGAUGAGUUUAGUAGAUCAGAAGAUGAGUUUUAAAGACAGGUUUUCUUCAUUUGUCGGAUGGACCCUAAUUGAAAAGAAGGAAAAGUUGUGGGUUUUAGUUUUGACUUCUCUUAAAGAUUAAAUAGUCUCCUUUGUUACUGGUCAGGCAGAAUAUCUCUCCUUGACCCCAAAUGAAAUGAGUUUUUCUGAUUGUACUAAAAAAUAGUUCAUCUUCACCUUGGCUCCAAAACUAGGAUUUUUCCACCAAUGCUUUUACUUUGGUGACCAGAAGAAACCCAUCAUCCUUGUUUUCACCUUACUGCUGCAGUGUUAAAGGGUCUAAUUUUGGUUGCCCCUAUUUUAAUUGGGGCAUUCCUUACUGAAGUGAUAAUUUAUUGCUAGCUGAGAUCUGCGACAUCCAUGUUCACAGCCAGGGCGUGGUACAGAUCUCUCUCCAGCAAUCUUGGAUUCCUCAUCAAAGAGCUGCUAAGCUUCCCUGGCCUUCAGCCUGCUUAUUUACAGUCUUUAUAGCUCAGGCUCAGAACUUGAUGCUAACUAACGAAGGUUUGGAAAUCUUCAUUAACACAUGUGGCCCUGGUAAGCCUUGGGGGUGUCAGUCAGGCCUGCAGUUGUGCCAGGACUUAACUAAAGAAAACGCUUCCCUUGGAGAAACUGCUGUAAAGUAGCUUCUACCAGAACAUUUUGGAGGGCUCCUGCCUUGGAGGGGUGAUUUUCCAAAGUCAUGAAAGGCAGUUACUUCUAGAGCCUUGGUAAGAGCCAAGCUCUCUGCAUUUCAGCAGUCCUUUGAAGACCUCCUCCAAACCCUACCUUGGUAAAUGGCAGUUUCUCACUGAAGAUCACAUGAGCUCCUUUUUUUGUUGUUGGUGUUUUGGGGUUUUUUUGAGCUUGUUGUGGAGGAACCAUCAAGGUUUGGCAUUGGGAGUGUAAUCUUAGCUGGCAUCAUCAAUCCUUUUUUGCUAGGCCUGGGAAACCUGCCCAAACCCUGGAUAGAGGUGUUCAUUUGAGUGUUCUUUCAGCCCCACCAGCCAAAAAUGAGCCAAAGCAGUGCAAGCUGAUUAAUUGCUGCAUUUAUGUACACCAGCAGCAGAGGUAUCUUGUGGGGAUACAGCAGAUGGGAGCAGGGUUCCACAUUGCUCCCUGAGGGCUACCACAACUUACCUGCAACUGGGAGUUGUGUAACCCCAGGUUGCUGAGUUAUGAUGGUGUCAAGCUAGGAGAGGUGAGGAGACAGCAUCCUCCAGGACAUGUAACUGGAAGGAGAUACAUGAAGUGGCCAUAACUCAUUUUGGACUUGGUGGUCGCUAGUGGGCAUUCUGCAAGUAGUCAGAGGACACUGAGGGGUAUUUGGGGUGACUUUCACAUCAUAUAAGGGUCUACUGCUGGCUCUGAGUUUGGCAAGCAUCCAUCCUUCUGUCUUGCCAUUAGAAGAGGAUGAUUUCCCAUGCUGACUGUUGAAAAGCCGGCUGCCACCAGGGAUGGCACAGCCAUGUCUGUGUAUGGAGUGAUGAGGCUGUGACAGCUGAAGGAGGAGGUGGGAACGGUGUGGGAAGCAUCCUGGUCAUGGGAACAAGGCUGAGAUCCAAUGGGCUGGCAACAAUCAUUCAGCACAGAGAGGUCAAAAUUUCUGUACAGCAGCCUGGACCCAUGGGGCAUCGAUGGAUCUGCAUCUCCUCUAGAGCUUGUGUGGGGAUCCACACAUCUGAAACCACUGAAAACCACAUCUCGUUAUCCCAGGACUGCAUUGACCUCUGCUCUGUCUUGCCCAGUGGAUGUUUAUUCUUAAAACUAUCUGGUGGUGGAGACCCUGUGCUCUUCUGAAGCUAUUUCUCUCAACAUUUUGCUGCCUGAAGUGCAUUUCUCAGAUCCAGCUUUUUCCUCCACUUAUCCACCCCAGACUUCUUUACAGCUGCAUUUUAUAUAUUUAAAAGCUACUAUCAUGUCGUCUUCCCUGUAAUAGUCUCUGAUUGAGACUAAACAACCACAGUUUCUUCACUUGAGCGUGUAACAACAAUCAGUUUGUUUGAUGGAAUUCAGUGUUCUUAGCGCAGCGGUUCUAAUACUCAUUCUAUGCCAAAACUAACAAACAUUUCACAACUUUCUCUUCAAAUCUCUAGUUUUAUCAAUUGUUAUGUCAAUUAAGGUUACAAUUUUAACACAAGUGGUAAAAAAAAUUAAAUCAAUUGCUUUCUAAUUUUUCUAUGUGUUUGAAUUAUGGCAUCCACUGAGCAAUGCAGUUGGGAAAACUAAAGAAACAUCAUGAAAUAGUUAAUGUGGUUUUUAAAAAGUAUUCAUUUAGAGACAUUAAAAGAUACUUUUAGAGAGUUAUUAGCUGCGAAAAUAAUUCUUCAGCUAUAUGAAAAUAUAUAGCAAUAAUUGCUAUAGUGUUCCACUUGUUUCACUACUUAGCUCUGGCUUUGCAAUCCAAAGUGGUACGUUUAUAAUCUUGAGUAAAUUUAUGUUCAAGAUGAAUUUCAAUUUACCAAAAAGUAUAUGUAGGAAUUUGUAAAUUAUAUAUAAUAAUAAAAAAUGCAUAUUACAUACUGUAUAGCAAACAGGUAUACAGGUGUUGGACCAGAGAGAUUAUCAUGUUACAAAGGAGAAAUGAAAUAAAGAUCUUACCUGUGUCCUGGGCUUGCAGAAGGGCUCCAAGAGGAAGGAUCUCCUGAGAGAGAUCCUUCCUCCUUGGGAGUCAGCCCUUAAAUGGGGUCUAGGAGGGGUGGAGCCAGGCUUCUGGUCACUCAGGUGAAAUUGCAUUCACCUGUGCCCCUGCAGCUGACUCAGUGCUCGCCUCAAGUGGUCAAUGAGAGGUUCAGGCUGUGAAUCAACAGUUCCCAUACACAUACUAAGCUUUCUUUCAGUUCAGAUUUUAUUUUUUGGAAAUAGCAUUUUUCUUAAGGAGAAAAAACAAAGGUUAAAACUAGAAUGCAUUGAGAACUUCUCCAACCCCACACCAUCUUCACAUCCCACACCUCUGGCUGCUCCAGGACUUUCUUUUGGUUCAGAGCUGCUCUCCCCGUAGCCCUGCAGCAUCCUGCAAGGAGAGGAGAAACCUGCUGGGAGUACAUGCCCCCUCUUCACUGAGAUUUGAGAAGUAAAACUUGGCCCUUGUGAAGUAAAAUAGCUGUGGUUUCAAACUGUAAGGGUCACAGGAUUGCCCUGAGGGUUCUGUGAAUGGUGGCUCAGAGGAGAUGAGGUCAUAGCUUUAAACUUCCUAUGUAAGAGUGUACCUCUUUGCUAUGAAAUGCAUAAAGGUCUGCAAAUCAAACGAUGUUGAAAACCACUGGUUUCUAUGGUUUAAGAAGCAGUCUUCCAGUGUAGUUUUUUCACCUGUUAGCUCUUUAGAUAAGUGGGUUUCUCUUUCCCUCUAAGAAAUUCCAAAAGCCAAGACUGCUGCAGUGCCAGAAAUGAUGGUGCUCAUUUGAUUCCAGCUUAGGAGAACAGAUGCUGGGAAGAUGAGGCCAAGGCGGAAUGGGGCAUACAGCACCUCUGUUAGCCUAUCCUGGAGCUGAGAUCCUGUAAUACAGUGAUUAUCCCAUGUGAUUGUCUAUCUCAUGGCACAGGGAGCCUCAUCCUGCUAUGUGCUGAGCUCCAUAUUCCUAAUGCUGGAUUAGAGGUAUGUUGAUGCUGAGUCAGGCGUCUUCUUGGCACUGCCCUGGUGAGGCUUGGUUAAAGGCUGUGGCUCUAGCACGUGGCUGAGGUUAAGCACAGGCUUGCAUGCUGGUUUGGAUCAGGUCCUGGGGCUCAAUGAGACUGAUUUCCACCUUGGUUUCUGUGUCUGGUGUUCCUUAAUGGAGAGUCUCGGGGGUAUUUAGUCUGGAAAAAAAAAAAGAAGCUGAAUGCAGAGACUGGUGCUGAUGCUAUGCUCUCAGUUAUCUAAUCCACGUUCUCCUGGACCACAAGAAAUUCCAGUUGCCUUCACCAGGCUGCAGGGGAGGAGGGCCUCAAGUGCACUCUUGUUUUCAGUGCCAUGCUGAGAAGUUAAUUACUUGAAUUAAUUACUCAUCUUAGGUUCAGAACCUCCUGGAUAGUGCAGCUGAGAAUCAGCAAAAGAAACUUUCAUAGCAUGAAUGUGAAAAGUGUCCUCUAAAGGAGAAAUUAAUUCUCAAAAGGCAGGGCUGGCUCCUUGCUCACACGUUAACCUGGCUUGGCUGGACAUGGUGAUUUGGCUCUGAAAAACAAAAAUGCAGUUCGAACUAAACCAGUGUCAGGAAGGUCCUGGUACAAAUUGUGUCCAUCCUGGGUUGAAACGUCAGCUGAGGUCUGACCCUGAGGCCCGCCCUAGAGAGUCAGAUUUGCCGGUCUGUGAUGACAAGUCCAUCAUGAUCUGGGAAUCUCAAAAGAACAAAAUGUGAUCUCAUGCUACUUGCAGCUUCAGGAGACAGCAGGCUAAAUAGACCAACAGAAAACAGACACCGAAGGCACGACUUAACCAGGUCUUCUCAUGAGGUAGCAGCUCUUGAAUCACAAAAUGAUACGUAAAUCCAACCUGGCCCCAGAUGUAAAAGGAAGGUUUGGGUU